rnacentral:rRNA from 1 species
UGAGGAAUAUUGGUCAAUGGGGGAAACCCUGAACCAGCAACGCCGCGUGAAGGAAGAAGGCCUUCGGGUUGUAAACUUCUUUGACCAGGGACGAUAAUGACGGUACCUGGAAAACAAGCUACGGCUAACUACGUGCCAGCAGCCGCGGUAAUACGUAGGUGGCAAGCGUUGUCCGGAUUUACUGGGUGUAAAGGGCGCGUAGGCGGGGACGCAAGUCAGAUGUGAAAACUACAGGCUUAACCUGUAGCCUGCAUUUGAAACUGUGUUUCUUGAGUGAUGGAGAGGCAGGCGGAAUUCCUAGUGUAGCGGUGAAAUGCGUAGAUAUUAGGAGGAACACCAGUGGCGAAGGCGGCCUGCUGGACAUUAACUGACGCUGAUGCGCGAAAGCGUGGGGAGCAAACAGG